GGGCGUUAAGUUGCAGGGUAUAGACCCGAAACCCGGUGAUCUAGCCAUGGGCAGGUUGAAGGUUGGGUAACACUAACUGGAGGACCGAACCGACUAAUGUUGAAAAAUUAGCGGAUGACCUGUGGCUGGGGGUGAAAGGCCAAUCAAACCGGGAGAUAGCUGGUUCUCCCCGAAAGCUAUUUAGGUAGCGCCUCGUGAAUUCAUCUCCGGGGGUAGAGCACUGUUUCGGCUAGGGGGCCAUCCCGGCUUACCAACCCGAUGCAAACUGCGAAUACCGGAGAAUGUUAUCACGGGAGACACACGGCGGGUGCUAACGUCCGUCGUGAAGAGGGAAACAACCCAGACCGCCAGCUAAGGUCCCAAAGUCAUGGUUAAGUGGGAAACGAUGUGGGAAGGCCCAGACAGCCAGGAUGUUGGCUUAGAAGCAGCCAUCAUUUAAAGAAAGCGUAAUAGCUCACUGGUCGAGUCGGCCUGCGCGGAAGAUGUAACGGGGCUAAACCAUGCACCGAAGCUGCGGCAGCGAACGUAUCACUUAAAGCGAUUCAGCGGAUGACGAUUGACGGAGCGAAGCGACGUCAAAGCGUAUACAAAGUCGAGUCGGUUUAAGGAUACGUUCGUUGGGUAGGGGAGCGUUCUGUAAGCCUGUGAAGGUGGCCUGUGAGGGUUGCUGGAGGUAUCAG
rnacentral:rRNA from 1 species